ensembl:lncRNA
AUUACAUUGAUAUUGAAUUUUGAGUUCAAUAGGUAGUUUUUUCUGACCCUGGAAGCCCGUGUGAUUACUGCCUCUAGAGUCACAGGAAAACCACCUUGGACCUCUCGCCACUCUCCUAUGCUGUGAGAGGAGAAGAGAGGAGACUUGGGGUGAACUGAGGUAAGGAUCAAAGCCUAUCAGGUUUCAGUCUUGAAAGGAAAGAGGUCCAAGCUUUCUCCUCCCAACUGGUGGAAGACCAUCUAAAGAAGAGCAGAAACCUUAACACCCUUCCCCAUCUGCUGGUCAUGUGUGAGCUGCCCCUUGCCCCAGCAUCUUGCCAGAAUCCCUCACCUUGCCAGGUACCUGAGUGUCUACCCAGGACCUGCCUGCUAGUUAUCAGCCCCCACAGGGACCCCAUAAUAGAUAUAGCCAAUUACAGCAGCACCAUAUCCUAAUACAAUGCCCAGGAAUGCAGAGUCAGGAUCAAAUCUAGUCACAAGGCCAUAUUCCUGCAGGUGCUAGCCAGUCUUUCUAAUAAUUAAAAAAAAAAAAAAAAGGAAUGUAAUAACAUGGUUUGUUUUUUUUCCCCCAAAAAAUAAAAGAAUAAGACAAGCAAAACAGAAGAGCUGGUAAGAACUUAUAUGGCUAAUAAUAGUUGCUUGUGAGCAAGCCUUUCUUACUGCUUUCUUAGAUUGUUUUUCUCUUCAUUUUCACUUAAUGGUGAGGACCUAAGAAAUUCCUCAAUUUGAAACAAAUCCUACUUACAGCUACCCUGUACUCUGUGACAGUCCUUCUAGUAUUAACGGACAAAAGAAAAAGCGCCUGUUUUACCCACGCUCAAGUUGGAUUUCAUUAUAGCAGACAGACCGGAAUUUGGCAGUAAAAUAAAACCUUUUCUAAAGAGCAAAGUUUGCCUACCUCUGUUGGGAAAACCUAGGGAGUCCAAUGUACUGUUAAUGUGUGAAGACACCGUGGCAGGAUCCCCAUGACUCACCCAAUUUGCAUCCUGCAUUCGGCAUCUGGACACCCCUCCCAAGUCCGCAUGUGGACUGCAGUGCGACGGUGCCCUCAUUUGUAACUUGACCUGAUGCUUGGUAAAAGUUCACAAGACUUUGUCCAAGGUGGAUCAUCUUAAACAACCCAGAGGCCCUGAGAGAAUCACCUAUCCAAUAUGCAGCUGAGAUUGUGUUAACUACAGCAGGUGUCACUAAACUUUUCAUGACCAAAACAGUGGGCAACAUGAUGAGAAACUGGAUGCCAGAUUGGACUCCGGUCUUCAGUCCUCUUUUCUUCCCGGUAAGAAUAGUGUAUGCUGCACACCUGCUCAGCCGCUCUUAGGCACAUCCUUUUCUCAUAAAUACCGUAAGGAAAGGCAUUUCCCAAAUGCUCAUAUGCUGCUGGUGGAGAAAUUAAAGGAAGGAAUAAAACUCUUUGGUAGUAUUCAGCAAGGUGAAGAAGACAUUGGUACAGUCCUUCCAAGACCGUGAUCAGAUGUAUCAAAAGAUAUGUAAGUGUAUUUUUGGUAAAGAUUUGCUUGUUGGACUGGGAUUACACAUCUCUCUCUCUAGAUUAUACCAUCUGCAUGGGGAAAUUUUAAUUUUACUUCUUUGUUGGACAACAUAUUUUAUUUCUAUUUCAUUCUUGCCUGGUGUCACUAACAUAGAUCAUUGCACACAGCACACAGCACCUAGUCAGCCAGAAUAUGAAGGGGAAUUAGCGGUGCAGACCUGUGGGCUCUUUCCCAAUAACCAGACUGUAACACUGACAUGGGAACUUCAUUCCCUGAUGUUCUAAAUUGGUCUGUUUUGUAGUACUGCCACCCUUGCCAAACAAAGAUAAAACCAAAUUGGAGCUUUCUGUGUGAAGAGGAGGAAGAAGUCAAAAAAAAAACAUAGCUUUUACCCCCAAAAUAACUGAUGCAAAUAUCAAAUAUCCAAUUCUAUAAUUAGUUUAAAUAGUCUAAAAAUUGCUAACAAGAACUCUCCACUAGGUUUGAGCUUCAUUUUUCUUUGAUCUUGCCCGUUCUCAUCAUUUAAAAACAAAAAGACCAAAAGGUAGAAGGGGAAAAGAAGCAUCAGCAGAUUUGGAAGUCAACAAAUUAAUUAGUUCCUGAAUCACAAAAGAAGGACAUAUUGUGAAACCCGGUGUUGUAGAGGUCCUAAGCAUAUAAGAAUUUGAACAGCUGUGAGGACUGAUGAGUGUGGACAAAGUAAAGCUCUUAACUGCCCACUUGAGACUUCAGCCUAAACCAGGCAAUUUUCAUAGUGGGUUCAAGAGAGUGAAGUAUUGCUCUGAACAAUUUAUUUUUGGAAAAAUCACAUACAAAGAGAAGUGGUAUGUAGAGAAAGAAGUGUUAGACAAUUAAAAUUUCCUUUCUCUGCUUCUCUUGUAAGAGCAGUUCAUAAAUGGAUGGACCAUCCAGAAAAGCAUGAAUACCACACUUCAUAUAUCAGGUUUUUACCAUAGAAACACAGCUAAAGAGGGUGGACUGAAUAAAGAAAUGAACUUUCAUUCAAGUCAGCUACUUUGUUAUCAUAAAGAAAUCUACAAGAGAAAAAAGUCUGUGCAGACAAGUUUACAGUAUUUGAAAUGAAUGGCUAGUUUUUAACUUUUCCAAAAUGUAAAUAACUUUGUUGAACAUAUUUCCAUUUUCCAGCUAUGGAGAGAGACAGUCUGGCUGGUCGGAACCUUGUCUGUUAUUGGUGCAGAAGUCAUUUAAAGGCACCUUUUGGCACAGGCCUCAGCGGGUCUGGCUCCUUGAGACUCACAUAAUUGUAUUUAUAACUCCAUUAGUGACUGAAUCCAGGCAUCACUGGGCUCAGUUACACCGCUGUAUGCGACUCGGAGGCUCAUUUUGUGUCAUGUCUGCAAACCCGUCGGUUGUUGACACCUUGUUAGAGGCAUUGAAGUUUAGUUUCACAGUUCUUCAUUUCCCCUCCCAGGGAGCAGGCAAUCUACCAGACCCUCCCAGAUCAGUGCUUUGCUGGGAAGUAGUGAAUUCCAGAGUAUUAUUAACAUGUCAGACUGGAAACCAGUUCAGUAGUUUUAUUUCUUCCAAGACCCUUAAUCAACCCUGUGAUAUAAACUUAGCAUUUGAGAAGUUUUUGUAGUUGACAGCUGACCUGGAAAUGUGAAGAUAUGCAAAUGUCAGCAAGGUGUCUCUGUCUCUUAAGGUGCCCAUGAGGUUCCUACCAAUGAAGAGAUUAGCGGGGCAAAGCCGCAUCUAGUAGGUCAGACUGUCCUUACUGGAGCUUCUGGAUUCAUUACCUCUCCACCCCCAGCUCCUCUCUCAGUCAUCCUGGUGAUAAAUAGUAACAUAGAGGACCUUUUUCUUCUCGUCCUCCCUUCUCUGAUAUGAUGGUUCACGUUAGCCAGAGCUCAAACUCAUUCUUGCGUAUUAUGUCUCUAGAGUACUUGUUCAUGAAUAUCUUCUUCAUGCUAUAAUCUGGGAAAGACUGGUUUAAUCUCAAGUUUUUAUAUAGAGUGGUAGCUAAAGCCAUUAUUUUACAUUCCAUCUCAUAUAACUUUCUAUUUUUCAAUAUUUUCUUAAAUAUACUAAGAAUCACCAUUGUAUCUCCUUUUCUGAAAGCUUAUUCAUAGACUUCUGUGGGCUGUUGUUUUUGUUUUUGUUUUAAUGCUUUGUGUGAAAUUCAGUAGCACUGGGUGAGCAAAAUGCAAAUGAGCCCAAUUUCCCACAGCAAUUUGGCCUUCUUCUCCAUGGAGUAAGCAACCUUCUACCACCCUUAAGCUGUUUUGUAGGCUGUUUGCCUAAAUUCUACCUGUGCAGACACCAAGGGGUUCUUCUGUCUUUGAAGCUGUUAAGAAUGUCUUAAAAGAGAAUGAGUACUUCUCCCCAUAUAUAGUGUGAGCUGGCAGUGUUUUAUAGUUAGUAUAUCAAGUAAGAAAUCUAAUGUUUUCAGGCAUACAUUCCCAGAGGUCUAUCAACAUCUUUGGCAAAAUUAUACAUACUUUCUUUCCCUGUUCUCUUCUAAGACUUGCUUCCAUUCUUGUCUCAUGAAACAAAUGUAUUUUUGUUUAUUCACCUGGGUCAGCUUUCUAGAAUGAGAGGCUAGUCCCAUGGACCACUGAGUAUAAAGGAAGUUACCCUGCACUGCCCCAUGACGUGGUUGAUAGGUGUGUUUAGGAAUGCAAAGCUUUCUGGGGUAUCUUGGGAUGGAUUUUUGAAUUCCAGGUUUCCAUGACGUAUAUAAAAUUGGGUACAUAGCAUACAAAGAUUAUACUGUCGUCCCCAUAAGAGAUUAAGAGCUUUAUAAUCUAUACAUCUUAGAUAGAUUUCAGCAAACUGUAAGUAGCUCAUUUUACCCCCUUUGUUCUUGGCAACUUGUUCCUAUCUAUAAUCUUAUUCCUUCACAUCUGACCACCAAGGCAUGAAGUGUCAACCCACUCAUAUCGCCCCCUGCAAAAUCCUCUAAAGAUGUCCAUUUCCUUUAGAAACAAAUCCAUGGGUAAGAGGGGAAAGUCUAGUGACCAUUCUCUUAGCCCAGGGUGCCACACAUGGGAUUUUGGGCUAAGUCCAUACCAAAUAUUAAUUUUACAAUUUUUUAAUUUCUCAAGAUGCAAAUAAUGUGAUUAUUAUUAAUAGGAUGUAAAAUCUUUGAAGAACAUAAGCAUUAAGAAAAAAGGACUUCUCUUUAAAGAAACAAUCGAAGAUAUUCCUCAAAAGACAGAAACUUUUAAAAUUAGAAAUUGAAUAAUUUUUAAGAUUCUUUGGAGAAAAUAUGUCAUUGAUUCAUCAUAGUCUUUUCCUUCUCAUUGAGUUUUAAUUUAGACUAGCAUGGGAAGCAGAGUGCCCCUGGACUUUGAUUUAGGGGAUCGUGCUUUGGCCUGGAAAGUCAGUACUGGCCUGCAUGCCCAGAACCCAAAUGAAGUCAGUCAGUGUCCUAAUGAGAAUCAGGCCUAACAGAAAUGUAAAUUAUUUCAAGACCUUUAGGGUUUAAUUUUCUUAGCAACACCCUUGACCCUGUUUCCUAAAAUUAAUUUGAUCCAUGCAGUUAUGUGUCUUCAUUUGGUGUUAUAAGAUUGCAAGCAAUGGGAUGAUGGAGAAAAAUAGACAGUAGAAAAGGAAAAUUUGAACAAGGCCAGGGUGUAAUGUUUUGCUGAUAUAAUGCAUUGUUAGGGAGCUGGUGACUGUUGCCAUGGUUGUAUCAUGGGCAGCCUUUCAACAGAAGCUCAGGGCAUAUGUAUGAGGGCAGUGGGAGUGCCCAGUAUCUCCUAUUGGUCCAUGCUUGACAGUGUGCUGGAAAAGCAGAUACAUACCAGUGGACUGGCCUGUGCUUGCUGAAAUAACUGCAUUGAAUUUCAGAUUAAUUUCCAUGGGAUCAGUUAUCCAUGAACCUUCCUGUUUCCUCACUGCCUGUUUAAAAUUCAUUUUGGCAUCAAGCUUCAUUUCAUUUUUCUCCUUUCAGUACUUCUGCAUUGUGUCCCCUUCCUUCACAUCCUACAGUGACAUUUGCCUCGCUUUACUGUUUCUCCAGGACCCAGCUUUCUGUCCCUCUUUCCCCCACAGACACCUGAAGUGCCCCUGAGCCCUCACUUCAUCGCCCCACACCCAUGCUCCAUCCCCCAGCCCUGUGGACAGGGAGCUCGGCUGUCACCAAGAGAGACACAGCCUUGUGACUGCUUCUUGUUAAUGUCAGCACCACCUCAUCACUUAAGCAAAGAGGGAAAAAUCCAUAAAAGAGAUGGAAAAUACAAUUCUUUUUUUAUUAUUAUUCUACUUUAUUUUAAGAGGCUUGAGAAGAGGGGUGGUUCCAGUCCUUCUCAGUUUCCCAGAGUUUUACUUUACAACUGUCUAAGGAAGGACCAUUCUUUUGAUAAAUGUAUAAAUCAGCCCAGGUCACCAGCUAUGAUGCAUAAGACUCCAGUGUUGAAUCUCUGUGCUGCUGGACAAAGUGACUAAAUUCUGUGCAAAUAUUUUGAAUCAUAGGCUUUUUAUUGCCCCUCAGUUCUUACUACUACUCAUGAUUCAAACAUCUUCACGAAGCUGGGUCAGGAUGUUGACAAUUUGUGGUUAUUUUCAGAUCAACAGUAACUUACCCUCUUGAAAGCACUUAAAAAGAAAGUUAAGCGUAUCUUAAAUAUUCAACCAUUUGACCUGGAGAAAAGUUGGCUUUUCUGUUUAAUUAUUAGACCAAUCUGUAGAUGUAAUCUUAAAGGGUUUUUUAUGCAAUAAUGAAGACAGUUUGAGAAAUGAGAAGGCACUUUAAAGACGUGAAACCUUGUAUUAUACACUCGUGGAUAUUUUUUAAUAAGCUAAUUGGAUUCAGGUAUUUUUUUCCCUUUAAAUUUUUAAAAAUAUGUAUUUCUAAUUUUUUUGCAUAUUUAAUUUUGUCAAAACUGAGAAAUGCUCGCUAGUUGAACUUGUAAAUGUUAUUUGCAAACCAAAUAAAGUAUUUAUUUUUAAAAAGAAAAGGUGAAGGAAUCAAUACGGAUUUGUACAUAAUGAAUAUAUGUGUGUGUGUGUGUGUGUAUGUUUUUCCUUCCUGACACUACUUGGUCCUCACAUCAAUUGUAUUUUUGUACAUAGUGUAUAUAUAUUUGUUAGAAAAUGUAGAUUGUCUGUUCAAAGACUUCUGUCUCUGAUAGAUUAUAUUUAUCCUACUGUUGAUACCUCUCUUAAUUUGUUUUAAGAGAUAGAAUUCUAUUUUUUUGGAACUUGCAGAGAACUGCAUUCAUG